AGAGUUUGAUCCUGGCUCAGGAUGAACGCUGGCGGCAUGCCUAACACAUGCAAGUCGAACGGAGUCAUAUGUGAAGUUUUCGGAUGGAAUAUAAGACUUAGUGGCGGACGGGUGAGUAACACGUAAGUAAUCAACCUAUAACACACGAAUAACUAAUAGAAAUGUUAGCUAAUACGAGAUAAAAUAUAUGAUAUGGGAAUAUUGUAUAUCAAAGCUGAGGCGGUUAUAGACGAGCUUGCGUCUGAUUAGCUAGUUGGUGGGGUAAGAGCCUACCAAGGCGACGAUCAGUAGCCGACCUGAGAGGGUGAACGGCCACAUUGGAACUGAGAGACGGUCCAAACUCCUACGGGAGGCAGCAGUGGGGGAUAUUGCACAAUGGGGGGAACCCUGAUGCAGCGACGCCGCGUGAGUGAAGAAGUAUUUCGGUAUGUAAAGCUCUAUCAGCAGGGAAGAAAAUGACGGUACCUGACUAAGAAGCCCCGGCUAACUACGUGCCAGCAGCCGCGGUAAUACGUAGGGGGCAAGCGUUAUCCGGAAUUACUGGGCGUAAAGGGUGCGUAGGCGGCUUGUUAAGUCAAGGUUAAAAGGCAGCAGCUCAACUGCUGUUCGGCCUUGAAACUAAUAAGCUUGAGUAUAGGAGAGGAAAGUGGAAUUCCCAGUGUAGCGGUGAAAUGCGUAGAUAUUGGGAGGAAUACCGGUGGCGAAGGCGACUUUCUGGACUAUAACUGACGCUGAGGCACGAAAGCGUGGGUAGCAAACAGGAUUAGAUACCCUGGUAGUCCACGCCGUAAAC
rnacentral:rRNA from 1 species